GAAACAUCACACAGAUCCCAUCAACAGGAUCUAGGAUGCUCUCUAUCCUUUUGUUCGCUGCGGCUUGGGUUGCCUGCCUGGCAAAACUUCUGGAUGAGAAGAUGACUGGAUCCUGGAGACUAUUUGUGCUCUGUAGUCUCCUGC